rnacentral:rRNA from 1 species
GACGAACGCUGGCGGCGUGCUUAACACAUGCAAGUCGAACGAAGUGGCGAACGGGUGAGUAACGCGUAAUCAACCUGCCCUUCAGGGGGGGACAACAGUUGGAAACGACUGCUAAUACCGCAUACUGAAGGAGGGGAUUGCGUGUGAUUAGCUAGUUUGAGGGGUAACGGCCAACCAAGGCGAUGAUCAGUAGCCGGUCUGAGAGGGUGAACGGCCAAAAUGGGACUGAGACACGGCCCAGACUCCUACGGGAGGCAGCAGUGGGGAAUCUUCCGCCAGGGACGAAAGUCUGACGGAGCAACGCCGCGUGAGGGAUGACGGCCUUCGGGUUGUAAAGCUCUGUUAAUCGGGACGCGGUACCGGAAUAGAAAGCCACGGCUAACUACGUGCCAGCAGCCGCGGUAAUUC